rnacentral:rRNA from 2 species
GCGAGAAAACUUUGCAAUGUGCGAAAGCACGACAAGGUUAAUCCGAGUGUUUCCUGCUAAAGGAAUCUUUUGUUAGUUGUAAAACCACUGAUGAAUAAGGGGUGGGCAAGUUCUGGUGUCAGCCGCCGCGGUAAAACCAGCACCUCAAGUGGUCAGGAGGUUUAUUGGGCCUAAAGCAUCCGUAGCCUGAUCUAUAAGUUUCCGGUUAAAUCCACAUGCUCAACAUUUGGGCUGCCGGAAAAACUGCAGAUCUAGGGAGUGGGAGAGGUAGACGGUACUCGGUAGGAAGGGGUAAAAUUCUUUGAUCUAUUGAUGACCACCUGUGGCGAAGGCGGUCUACCAGAACACGUUCGACGGUGAGGGAUGAAAGCUGGGGGAGCAAACCGGGAUUAGAUACCCGGGUAGUCCCAGCUGUAAACGAUGCAGACUCGGUGAUGCAUUGGCUUGUGGCCAGUGCAGUGCCGCAGGGAAGCCGUUAAGUUU